rnacentral:rRNA from 1 species
UAGACACCAGAGCAGAUCAUGUUAAACACCCCUCCACAAAGGACAAAACUAAUUGCCCCCUGCUCCAAUGUCUUUGGUUGGGGCGACCGCGGGGAAACAAAAAACCCCCAUGUGGACCAGGGGCACACGCCCCCACAACCCAGACUGACAACUCCAAGUAACAGAACUUCUGACCAACAAGAUCCGGCGUUAAGCCGAUCAACGAACCGAGUUACCCUAGGGAUAACAGCGCAAUCCUCUUUUAGAGCCCAUAUCGACAAGAGGGUUUACGACCUCGAUGUUGGAUCAGGACAUCCUAAUGGUGCAGCCGCUAUUAAG